AGCAGAACUCUGUGUGGAGCAGCGCUAGGUGGAGCAGCGCUAGGUGGGAGCAGCGCUAGGUGGGAGCAGCGCUAGGUUGGAGCAGCGCUAGGUGGGGCAGCACUAGGUGGAGCAGCGCUAGGUGGAGCAGCGCUAGGUGGAGCAGCACUAGGUGGGGCAGGACUCUGUGUGGAGCAGCGCUAGGUGGAGCAGGGCUAGGUGGAGCAGCGCUAGGUGGAGCAGCGCUAGGUGGAGCAGCGCUAGGUGGAGCAGCACUAGGUGGAGCAGG